rnacentral:rRNA from 1 species
ACUCAAAGGAAUUGACGGGGGCCCGCACAAGCGGCGGAGCAUGCGGAUUAAUUCGAUGCAACGCGAAGAACCUUACCUGGGUUUGACAUCGCCGGAAAUCUCGCAGAGAUGCGGGGUCCUUCGGGGCCGGUGACAGGUGGUGCAUGGCUGUCGUCAGCUCGUGUCGUGAGAUGUUGGGUUAAGUCCCGCAACGAGCGCAACCCUUAUCCUGUGUUACCAGCGGGUCAUGCCGGGGACUCACAGGAGACUGCCGGGGUCAACUCGGAGGAAGGUGGGGAUGACGUCAAGUCAUCAUGCCCCUUAUGUCCAGGGCUUCACGCAUGCUACAAUGGCCGGUACAGAGGGCUGCGAUACCGCAAGGUGGAGCGAAUCCCUAAAAGCCGGUCUCAGUUCGGAUCGGGGUCUGCAACUCGACCCCGUGAAGUCGGAGUCGCUAGUAAUCGCAGAUCAGCAACGCUGCGGUGAAUACGUUCCCGGGCCUUGUACACACCGCCCGU